ensembl:snoRNA
CCCCAGAGUGUCGAGUUCAGUUCAGGGCAGCUUCCCUAAACUUCCCUAAACUUCGGGACACUGAAAGUGACUGAGAGAAAUGGUUGAAUAGAGAGUAUUACUCUAUUCAUAGACUUCCUAGCCUACACCA